CCCUUAGAUGUCCUGGGCCGCACGCGCGCUACACUGAUGCAUUCAACGAGUUUUUCCUUGGCCGAGAGGCCUGGGCAAUCUUUUGAACGUGCAUCGUGAUAGGGAUAGAUUAUUGCAAUUAUUAAUCUUGAACGAGGAAUUCCUAGUAAACGCAGAUCAUCAAUCUGCAUUGAUUACGUCCCUGCCCUUUGUACACACCGCCCGUCGCACCUACCGAUUGAAUGGUCCGGUGAAGCCUCGGGAUUGUGGCGAGUUCCCUUUAUUGGGAGUUCGUCGCGAGAACUUGUCUAAACCUUAUCAUUUAGAGGAAGGUGAAGUCGUAACA
rnacentral:rRNA from 1 species